rnacentral:rRNA from 1 species
GUGGGGAAUUUUGGACAAUGGGCGCAAGCCUGAUCCAGCAAUGCCGCGUGCAGGAAGAAGGCCUUCGGGUUGUAAACUGCUUUUGUACGGAACGAAAAGGUCUGGGUUAAUACCCUGGGCUCAUGACGGUACCGUAAGAAUAAGCACCGGCUAACUACGUGCCAGCAGCCGCGGUAAUACGUAGGGUGCGAGCGUUAAUCGGAAUUACUGGGCGUAAAGCGUGCGCAGGCGGUUUUGUAAGACAGGCGUGAAAUCCCCGGGCUCAACCUGGGAAUGGCGCUUGUGACUGCAAAGCUGGAGUGCGGCAGAGGGGGAUGGAAUUCCGCGUGUAGCAGUGAAAUGCGUAGAUAUGCGGAGGAACACCGAUGGCGAAGGCAAUCCCCUGGGCCUGCACUGACGCUCAUGCACGAAAGCGUGGGGAGCAAACAGGAUUAGAAACCCUGGUAGUCC